ACGGCUCCAGAUGGAAUCUAGCUACCUAAAGAACAUUUCUGACACUUGCUCAGCUCUAGUCCAGACCACACAGGACUGGUUUUCAUACUGAGCCCUGCUUGGGAUCUGGGAGAGUAUUGGCCAGGGAGACUAGAGGAUGGAGGCCCAGCUGCAGGCUCUGGCUCCUUCCAUAGGGCCUGCAAAAGGCUUGAGUAUAACCAGGGAGGUUUGAGCUAGAACAGAUUCUAAGGUGCACGCUGCUUUGUUUCAAACUUUUGCUAGAAGGUGAUUUUAGAAGCUAGCUCUAUACUCUUUCCCUAACUCUGAAUCACAAUUCAAUUUUGUCUCUUCUUGUCUACCAGGCUGUGGGCAUCAGAAAAAAACGUACAGGCCCUCUGCAGCCACCCAUGGAAACAGAAGAGAUUGCAUGCAGAGAUAGAGACACCAAGCUUUCAUACUGCAUAACUAUUCAGGAAUGGACCUGGGAUGCAGCAGACCGGAAACCCAGCCACGGGAGCAGCAGGUACAGAGAUGAGAAGAGCGGGUCCAGGGAGUGACUUUUACCCAGAUCGAUGCCCUGUUCCUGGUGCAAACUGUCCAACAGCAUCCACUGAGCUGUGC
rnacentral:lncRNA from 1 species